ensembl:snRNA U6 U6 spliceosomal RNA
GAUGUUUGCUCCAGCAACAUCACAUAUUAAAAUUGAAUGAUAUGGAGAUUAGCAUGGCUCCUGCACACAGAUGACAUGCAAAUUUGCAAUGCAUUCCAUAUUUUA